rnacentral:rRNA from 1 species
GGUUAAGCGACUAAGCGUACACGGUGGAUGCCCUGGCAGUCAGAGGCGAUGAAGGACGUGCUAAUCUGCGAUAAGCGUCGGUAAGGUGAUAUGAACCGUUAUAACCGGCGAUUUCCGAAUGGGGAAACCCAGUGUGAUUCGUCACACUAUCAUUAACUGAAUCCAUAGGUUAAUGAGGCGAACCGGGGGAACUGAAACAUCUAAGUACCCCGAGGAAAAGAAAUCAACCGAGAUUCCCCCAGUAGCGGCGAGCGAACGGGGAGCAGCCCAGAGCCUGAAUCAGUGUGUGUGUUAGUGGAAGCGUCUGGAAAGGCGCGCGAUACAGGGUGACAGCCCCGUACACAAAAAUGCACAUGCUGUGAGCUCGAUGAGUAGGGCGGGACACGUGGUAUCCUGUCUGAAUAUGGGGGGACCAUCCUCCAAGGCUAAAUACUCCUGACUGACCGAUAGUGAACCAGUACCGUGAGGGAAAGGCGAAAAGAACCCCGGCGAGGGGAGUGAAAAAGAACCUGAAACCGUGUACGUACAAGCAGUGGGAGCACGCUUAGGCGUGUGACUGCGUACCUUUUGUAUAAUGGGUCAGCGACUUAUAUUCUGUAGCAAGGUUAACCGAAUAGGGGAGCCGAAGGGAAACCGAGUCUUAACUGGGCGUUAAGUUGCAGGGUAUAGACCCGAAACCCGGUGAUCUAGCCAUGGGCAGGUUGAAGGUUGGGUAACACUAACUGGAGGACCGAACCGACUAAUGUUGAAAAAUUAGCGGAUGACUUGUGGCUGGGGGUGAAAGGCCAAUCAAACCGGGAGAUAGCUGGUUCUCCCCGAAAGCUAUUUAGGUAGCGCCUCGUGAAUUCAUCUCCGGGGGUAGAGCACUGUUUCGGCAAGGGGGUCAUCCCGACUUACCAACCCGAUGCAAACUGCGAAUACCGGAGAAUGUUAUCACGGGAGACACACGGCGGGUGCUAACGUCCGUCGUGAAGAGGGAAACAACCCAGACCGCCAGCUAAGGUCCCAAAGUCAUGGUUAAGUGGGAAACGAUGUGGGAAGGCCCAGACAGCCAGGAUGUUGGCUUAGAAGCAGCCAUCAUUUAAAGAAAGCGUAAUAGCUCACUGGUCGAGUCGGCCUGCGCGGAAGAUGUAACGGGGCUAAACCAUGCACCGAAGCUGCGGCAGCGACGCUGAUGCGUUGUUGGGUAGGGGAGCGUUCUGUAAGCCUGCGAAGGUGUGCUGUGAGGCAUGCUGGAGGUAUCAGAAGUGCGAAUGCUGACAUAAGUAACGAUAAAGCGGGUGAAAAGCCCGCUCGCCGGAAGACCAAGGGUUCCUGUCCAACGUUAAUCGGGGCAGGGUGAGUCGACCCCUAAGGCGAGGCCGAAAGGCGUAGUCGAUGGGAAACAGGUUAAUAUUCCUGUACUUGGUGUUACUGCGAAGGGGGGACGGAGAAGGCUAUGUUGGCCGGGCGACGGUUGUCCCGGUUUAAGCGUGUAGGCUGGUUUUCCAGGCAAAUCCGGAAAAUCAAGGCUGAGGCGUGAUGACGAGGCACUACGGUGCUGAAGCAACAAAUGCCCUGCUUCCAGGAAAAGCCUCUAAGCAUCAGGUAACAUCAAAUCGUACCCCAAACCGACACAGGUGGUCAGGUAGAGAAUACCAAGGCGCUUGAGAGAACUCGGGUGAAGGAACUAGGCAAAAUGGUGCCGUAACUUCGGGAGAAGGCACGCUGAUAUGUAGGUGAAGUCCCUCGCGGAUGGAGCUGAAAUCAGUCGAAGAUACCAGCUGGCUGCAACUGUUUAUUAAAAACACAGCACUGUGCAAACACGAAAGUGGACGUAUACGGUGUGACGCCUGCCCGGUGCCGGAAGGUUAAUUGAUGGGGUUAGCGCAAGCGAAGCUCUUGAUCGAAGCCCCGGUAAACGGCGGCCGUAACUAUAACGGUCCUAAGGUAGCGAAAUUCCUUGUCGGGUAAGUUCCGACCUGCACGAAUGGCGUAAUGAUGGCCAGGCUGUCUCCACCCGAGACUCAGUGAAAUUGAACUCGCUGUGAAGAUGCAGUGUACCCGCGGCAAGACGGAAAGACCCCGUGAACCUUUACUAUAGCUUGACACUGAACAUUGAGCCUUGAUGUGUAGGAUAGGUGGGAGGCUUUGAAGUGUGGACGCCAGUCUGCAUGGAGCCGACCUUGAAAUACCACCCUUUAAUGUUUGAUGUUCUAACGUGGACCCGUAAUCCGGGUUGCGGACAGUGUCUGGUGGGUAGUUUGACUGGGGCGGUCUCCUCCUAAAGAGUAACGGAGGAGCACGAAGGUUGGCUAAUCCUGGUCGGACAUCAGGAGGUUAGUGCAAUGGCAUAAGCCAGCUUGACUGCGAGCGUGACGGCGCGAGCAGGUGCGAAAGCAGGUCAUAGUGAUCCGGUGGUUCUGAAUGGAAGGGCCAUCGCUCAACGGAUAAAAGGUACUCCGGGGAUAACAGGCUGAUACCGCCCAAGAGUUCAUAUCGACGGCGGUGUUUGGCACCUCGAUGUCGGCUCAUCACAUCCUGGGGCUGAAGUAGGUCCCAAGGGUAUGGCUGUUCGCCAUUUAAAGUGGUACGCGAGCUGGGUUUAGAACGUCGUGAGACAGUUCGGUCCCUAUCUGCCGUGGGCGCUGGAGAAUUGAGGGGGGCUGCUCCUAGUACGAGAGGACCGGAGUGGACGCAUCACUGGUGUUCGGGUUGUCAUGCCAAUGGCACUGCCCGGUAGCUAAAUGCGGAAGAGAUAAGUGCUGAAAGCAUCUAAGCACGAAACUUGCCCCGAGAUGAGUUCUCCCUGACUCCUUGAGAGUCCUGAAGGAACGUUGAAGACGACGACGUUGAUAGGCCGGGUGUGUAAGCGCAGCGAUGCGUUGAGCUAACCGGUACUAAUGAACCGUGAGGCUUAACCUU